GAAACUCUGGGCUGAAGGAAUCCAGGCAGAGGAGCUGCAUUGCUUCCCAUGGAAAAGUCAAAAGUAUUCCUCCUGGCUUUCUUGGCCACUAGCUUUUUCUCAUGUCAUUUCGUGCAGUCAUUAUCAAAAGAAGUAUGUGCAGAAGAAACACAUAUGCUCCAUAAGAGUCAGCCCAUUGUGUGCUUCUAACAAUGUUACCUAUCCUAAUUCCUGUGUGUACUGCUUCGCCAACAUAGCUUUGGAUUUUUCGCUUCGAAUCCAAUACAGUGGAAAAUGUAUGAAGCCCACUUCUUGAUUAUUCUUCAUUCAUCACAAGUGA